AGUGGCGUACGGGUGAGUAACACGAAGGCAAUCUACCCCAAAGUCUGGAAUAACCUGCCGAAAGGCGGGCUAAUACUGGAUAGAGCGACGGAAUCCGUAAUUGGGUUUUUCGGGAAAGGGAGGGAGCAAUCCCCCUUGCUUUGGGAUGGGCCUGCGUCCCAUCAGCUUGUUGGUAAGGUAAUGGCUUACCAAGGCGAUGACGGGUAGCUGGUCUGAGAGGAUGAUCAGCCACACUGUAACUGAAACACGGUCCAGACUCCUACGGGAGGCAGCAGUGGGGAAUCUUGCGCAAUGGACGAAAUUCUGACGCAGCCACGCCGCGUGAGUGAAGAAGGCCUUAGGGUUGUAAAGCUCUGUCGGAGGGGACGAAAAGCAUUAGGGUUAACAGCCCUAGUGCCUGACGGUACCUUUAAAGGAAGCACCGGCUAACUCUGUGCCAGCAGCCGCGGUAAUACAGAGGGUGCAAGCGUUGCUCGGAAUCAUUGGGCGUAAAGGGCAAGUAGGUGGUCUCAUUUGUCUAGGGUGAAAUCCUUGAGCUUAACUCAAGAAGUGCCCUAGA
rnacentral:rRNA from 1 species